GCUUCGGAUUCUGUGUCUCCCUCUCUCUCUGCCCCUCCCCCGCUCGCGCUCUGUCUCUCUGUCUCUCUCUCUCUUAAAAAAUAAACAUUAAAAAUGAAAAAGAAAAAAAAAAACAAUUGAAAGGGAAAUGAGCCAAGAACAUAGCCAGAGUCCAGUUAGGCACAGUGCAAGGUCAAGAUCCCAGGCCCGUCAUCCGCUCUCAGUUUCCCUGGCAACGAGGCCCCCCACUUACCCCAAAGGAAGUAAGCGAUGUUGACCAGCAGGGCAAACGGCCAAAGGCCCAGGAAGCGUUUGGGAAGAGGGUGAAAGGCAGACCACAAGUCAGGCCACCAAUGGGGAGAAUUUGCGGAUGAAAGGACUGUCUGGGGCCUUGUGUGGCGGAGGGCUUCAGCUGCUCUGAACCGAGCUGCUCUGACCAAGGCUAAGCUUGGUCGGGUCGGAGUAGGUGAAACUUAUCAGUCUCGUUCUGUUUCUUGAUAUCAGUGCCCGCGGUGAAUCUCAUACAAGGAGAAGAUGAAGAAAACUUACUCUCUGUCUUGGCCGGGGCUGCCCUGGGGGAGCUGGCCUAGAUCCGCCCAGAGUGGGGUGUAGACCUGGAGAGAACCACUGGGAGCAGAAUAGGAGGACUCCGAUAAAAGGCAGAGCACCUUUCCCACCCAAGUUGGAGCGAUUCAGCUAAAGCAGCAGCAGCAGCAGGACGGGAGUGAGUGUGGCCGGUUUGGAGAUGCAGAAUCAUGAGUCCGCGAAGGCGGAUGGCCACUAGAUGCCGCCAGUGAGCCCCGCUGACAGCCGGCAAGGAAACGGGGACCUCAGUCCCCGUUGCAAGCAGGCAACCUGAGCGCGUCUGGAAGCGGGCUCUCCGGCAGGUAGGGACACGGCCUUAGGAGACCCAGUGCAGAGACCAGCCAGGCCUGCUGGCCUUCUGACCUACAGACGGUGAGAUAAUGAACUCGCAUGGCUUUAAGCCACUGAAUCUGCGGGGAUUUGUUUUGGUCGAAGCCAUCUCAGGUGGCGGACAGGUAAGCAGCCGGGGACCGGGCGCCGUGGGGUCAGCCUGUACCUGCCCAGCCUGCAGCCCCGGAAGGCAGGUCACGUGGGAGAGGCACCCCUCUGGCUUCCUCCUCCGCCCUCCACACCAGAUGUGGGCGAGCUCCCGCACCAGGGCGGGGAGGGAGAGCGGCUUGCUAUGUGCGCCUCAUUUCUUCUUGCUCCCUCCGCUCCCUCCGUUCCCCCUGCGAAAGGAAAAUACUGGUUUUCUUACAGUUGUCUGUGUGAUCUCACUUGGAGCGUGUCAACCCACUUGCACGCGGCGGUUUCACGCUCCCGGUCAAUAGCGCAGGCCUGCAGGGUGUGGGACUCGGGGCAGGGGCGGGGGGCGGGGGGCGCCAUCCGCCCUGAGCAGCGUCCGCCCCGCUCACACCCUCACCCCUCCUUCUCCUUCCUCCCGCGCCUUUUCUUUCGCGGCUCCCGCACCCUUUGCUCUUUGCUGCCAUCGUGUGGUGAUCGGGAGAAUUAACCUCGCGCGGGCGGGAAGCAGGAAAGUCCCAGGAACCGGUUAGGUGUGCUUUACGCCAGUGCAAAGUGCCUGGGGAGGGAGGUUCGUUUUGAAUCGCGAUCCAGGCAAUAAGGCCUCUUUAAACAAUCUGUUAUUUCCACAUCCCGUUCGUUAACUACUCACUAGGAGCAGAGAAGGGAAAGGCGACCAAUGGCUCCGAAACAGGCCUGGGGACACUGGACAGAUGCUACUGAAUUAAUCCGCUGAGGUAUCUCUGCAAUCAUUCUGUGCAGUACAUUCGAGCCAGAAACACGCCUUUCCCAUUGACCUCGAGUGUGACCAACAGGGAUGCAAGUCUUUGAGGCUGGUCGACUUUCCCACAUUUAAGAAUUCCCUAUUAAAAGGUGAAUGUAGGAGA